AAACCUUGCAUGGCCAGUAGAUUUUCUAUUGUGAUACACAGUUUCCAUUCUGUGCCCAGCAACCAGGUCCUGCUUUCUCAGACUUACACAUACUCAUUCUUAGCACAAGGAAUUCCCUCCUCACCUCAGUUUUUGUCUUAAAAAGACAUGGAUGAAGAACCCAUAAGUUAUAGUACACUACACCAGGAUUCUCAGCAGAGGCACACACGAAAAAAUAAUGUUAAACAUAAAUUUGGUCCAAAUGAGUUGCCAUUAACCAAAAAGGAGCUAAAACACCAGAAACCUUGUAACACACAGCACAGAAAUAUAGCAGAAGAUGUCAAUGACACAGGAUGAAGGUUUGCAGGUGUGUUCCCACUGCGAAAAGUCAUUGAUCUACAUGGUUAUGAUAUGAGAGAUGACUAAUGCGCAGUGGUGGAUAUUUGAAAAAACAUACUAAUGCUGAAAAUGAGAGAAAUUGACCAAUAGUAAAUCAUUGUCAAAGGCCAUUGAGAAUCAAGGUGAAGUCUGAGAACUUGAGGUGAGUUAGGACCAGGCUUUUUGACUUCCUUCAUCAGAUAUCUGUAACCCGGAUACAGAAAGAGAAGGUAGAAUUUGGUUCAGCUGAACACAGCAGUUAGGAGGCAUAUAAAAAGGAAAAUAAGCAUUUGGUCUCAGUGCAAUCAGCCGGGUGACCUACAAUCAGGUCUAGGUUGAGUGGUGUGUAAUAGUGACAAUGAAUGAAGAGAACAUAAGUCAAGAGAUGAGUGCCAUGAUAAUACUGAGGAAUAAAUUCAGUGGGAGAAAGGAAUUUAGUAUGAAAGAUCAGGGUGAUCCUCACAGAUUAUCUUUUUAGAUAAUCUGCUCUAGGGUUGGAAUGACAAAAAUAAGCUGGCAUUUCAUUGCUUCUGAUCUUCCAACUGUCUCCAACUGGUGGACUAUAGAUCCAUUGGGCGUGGAGGCAGCUUAUACUUUUGUAGCUCCAUCACUGGCUCUCAUUCUUGCACAACACAUGAUGAACCUUGAUAUGUGUUCAUUGACUUAAGGAAGGGAGGGAAUAUGUGUGGGAAAAAUGAGUGAUAUUUGUUAACUUCUUAAUCUAACAUGCAGCAAUCACAUUUACUUUUCAAGCAGGGAAGAGCUCAGUGUCUAAAUGAAUCAAUUGCUGUUCUGGUUUUGCAGUUUUCUUGCUUGACUUUUCCUUCCUCCCCCACUUCCUUCCUCCCUUCCUCCCCUCCUUUUUUUUUUUUUUUUUUUUUUUUGGUGGCGAGGGAUGACUGAAAGAUUUAGAGGCAGAAUUAGUGAAUUAGAGACUCUACUGUGAAUUGGUCAUGUUAUCUUAGACAAAUAGCCUAUGUAAAAAAUGACGUUUUUUUUUUUUUUUACCUCAGUCAUUUCAUUAUUAUCUAGAAUUGGGUAAAAAUAUUUUACAGGUUUGUUGUGAGAAUCAUGUAUUUGACGUGUUCUUAGGUGUACACUACUCUAAAGCAUUUAUUUGUCCUGAUUGUCUUGCUUCAACAAUUCCCUCUGCUUUCUUUUUUUUUUAAUCGAUUUUAUUGGGGUAUCGUUGACUUACAAUGUUAUGUCUGUUUCAGGUGUAUAGCAAAGUGAAUCAGUUAUACGUAGACAUAUAUCCAUUCCUUUUCAGAUUCUUUCCCCCUGUAGGUUAUUACACAGUGUUGAGUAGAUCUCCCUCUGCUAUGCAGUAGGUCCUUGUGACUUAUCUAUUUUACAUAUAGUCGCGUGUACGUAUUAAUUCAACCCUCUAAUUUAUCCCUCCCCUUUGGUAGCCAUGAGUUUGAUUUGCUUUUAAUUGUGCUUGUGUAUUCAGUUCUCUCAGGAGACUUCUCACCUCUUCCAUGGAGGCUGAUUUCUAGUGUGCUGGGUGUCAUGUGCCUUUUCCUAAUGGCUGUAGCCAUUGCAGUGGUUGUUUUGACUGCAAGCAGUAAGUAACUACAGUCCUCCACAUUGUCUUCCCUUGAGAACAUGGUUUAUUUCAUAGAAUGCAUUAAGCAGAUCCUAGGCUCACAACAAUUUUACCUGAUCAAAAUUCUUCCCUUUUUAUUUCCUUGAAAAUUGCCGAUUUACACUUAGGGAAUACAGUCUUUGAUUAUUUUAUUUUGAUGUUUCAAUUUAAAGAAAGAUCUACUUAUGAUAUUUGACUAUUUUUGCAGCAUCUUCCAAACAAUCUCCUCUCAUAAUCCAGCAAAAAGGUAGGCACUGGUUUUAUAGAUUGAUUUCUUACAUUGAUUUAAAUGUAUUAUUGUGUUGGGUUCACAAACAUAGAGAUUUCUCGGGGCAAGUUACUCUAGUAUGUGUAAUAGUAAAUAUAAUAUAUAUACAUAGUCCCAGCCAUUAAAUAACUUAUAGUCAUGUGAAACAGAGGUUUGUAUAUAACUAACUGAAAGAUACGAAGACAGAGGUAAGGGUUUUGUGGGUUUUUGUGUGUGUGCGUGUGGUUUUUGUUUUGUUGUUGCUUUUGUUUCUUUUUUUUCAAAGAAAUUCUUGUAAGAUUUCCAACAUUUGUAGGGGAAUAGAAUUGCCUGAUGUAAGAACAAAUUUUGAAGGGUAGCGUUGUAUUAGAUGGGUAAAAUCUCAACAAAAAUUAAUCUAAUGUUUAUAUAAGGUGAAGACAUUCCAGCCUCUAAAUGUUAUAAGGGUAUGGAAGUAAGAAUACUAGUAGUUCAGCCAUUCCCUAAAUGAAUAGCUUCUAGUUCACCUGCGUUAUGUGAUCUAUAAAGGGUCCAACAUGUAACAGCAAGUUGAGAGAAAAAUAAGAAAAAUUUUCAUUUCUAAUUCAUAAUUUUAUUUUGAGUAAUUUUUGUUGCCUGCACAUAAUGUACUCUAAUGACAAAAGGUGGACUUCUGUUUGCACAGUACAUUUUAAAAAAUAAUAAAAUCAGUUUUGUAAUUGUUUUCAAUGCCAUGAUAGAGAAACUGUGUCUGGGACCUCAUCAUUCUUGUCCAAAGAAUUGGGUUUGGUUCCGAUGCAAUUGUUACUACAUCUCCAAGGAAGAGUUAACUUGGAAAGACAGUCAACGUGCCUGUUCAUCUCUAAAUUCCAGUCUCAUUAGGAUAAACAGAGAGGAGAUGCAUUUCUUCUCUUUAAAAUAUUUCUUUUGGAUUGGAGUCUACUACAAUGGGAUUGACCGGCACUGGUUGUGGGAAAAUGAUUCACUUCUGCCCUCUGAUAUGUUUGAUCUUCCUACACCUCAAUCACUACAGGCCUGUCUAUCUUACAGAUCAAGAGAAGCUUAUGAAAGUGAAAGCUGUGAAAGAAAACAGAACUACAUUUGUAAGAAUCACCUUAUUUAUUCCAUAAAUUCACAGGAAAGAUAAGCAUUACUCUUAUCUAACCUUAUGUCUUGAUAGACUUGCCAGUGGUCACUUUCUUAUUCUAUCUAGAAAAUAUGUAAAUUUACAUCUUUGGUUUAAUAAAAAUAGAAUCUGCUAAAAAUA